rnacentral:lncRNA from 1 species
AUGGAGCCAGAUGCUGGGCCAGCUAAAGAUGGAGUGAGGGCAAAAUUUGCAACCCCAGACCAUGGAUCUACAUCUGAAGAGCUGGGGACUGUGGAGGACAUUUCUGGGAUGCUGGUGGAGGUAGCAGCAGUUGAGCAGGAGUUGGGGUCUGCAGACAACUUACAUGUGAUCGUAAAAGAAGAGCUGGGGGCUACAGACAUCAUGUUUGGGACUGUAAAGGAGGAUUUGGUUGCGGCAGACAUUCUGGUUGGGACUGUGGAGGAGGAGUUGGAGGCUACAGACAUUCUGGUUGGGACUGUGGAGGAGGAGCUUGUAGCUGCAGAGGAGUCAGGCAUGGCAGGAGAGGAGCUAGGGGGCACACUUACCAACUCAGAACCAAAGAAAAAGACCAGAAAAAGAGCAUUAAAUCCAUCUACAUGGAAAGCAAAUAUUCGCAAGAGGCUACAUCAAGAGGGCAAAGAAUACACUAAUGCAAGCAAUGCAAAAGUUCCAGCCAAAAAAGUAAGGUCACAAAAAAACUGUGCUCUCUCUUGUAAAUUUAAAUGUGCACAGAAGGUAACCCCUACUGAAAGGGAACAAUGUUUCUUAGACUACUAUAAAUUGACACAAAACAGGAAACAUGACUACAUUGCAAUGACAACAGAAUGUGCGAUGAAAGAAAGGCAAACAUGCUGCGAAUCACAAAGAAAACGCACAUUCUCAUUUAAAUACUUCCUGAAUGUUGAGAGUGAGAGGAUUAGAGUGUGCAAAUCAUUUUACCUGGGCACACUGGCAAUUAGUCAGAAGCCAAUUUACAACACACAUUUAAAAAAAAACCAAACGACUGGCAUGCCAAAACCUGAUUCUAGAGGGAAACAUGCAAAACGUGGGAUAGAUCUCCAACUGAAAGAGCAGGUCCGGGAUCACAUCAGGUCUUUCCCUGUUGUUGAAUCUCAUUACUGCAGGGCUAGGACAGAGAGGCAGUAUCUGGAAUCUACGCUCAAUCUGUCCCGAAUGUAUGAUCUUUACCAACGUAAAUGUCUGGAAGAAGUUAGUACACCUGUAAAGGAGUCUUUCUAUAGAUUCAUUUUCAACUCCGAGUUCAACAUCAGUUUUCACAUUCCUAAAUCAGAUAGGUGUGAUCGGUGUGAAUCUUAUCAGACAGCUCUUGACCAGAAUCUUCUUAGCCAAGAUGCUGAGAGCACACAGAAGAAACACAUUGCCGACAAAACUGCCAUGCGCCAAGAGCGUCAGGCAGAUAGGGAUGCUAAAAACACAUUAGUAGUGUGCUUUGACCUUCAGAAUGUUAUAAACUGUCCACGUGCAGAGAUCAGUUCUUUUUUCUACAAACGAAAACUGAACUUGUACAAUCUUACAGCUCAUAGCUCUAUAUCAAAGAAAGGCUAUUGUGCGAUAUGGACAGAGGGGAUGUCAGGCAGGGGGGCUAACGACAUUGCAAGUGCCUUUGUUAAAAUUUUAGACCAAAUUAUUCUUGAUCACCCAGAUGCCACAAGCAUAAUUACAUGGAGUGACAGCUGCGUGCCCCAAAACAGAAACUCAAUAAUGGCAUUUGCUAUGGCAGAAUACUUGACACGCAAUACUAAGAUACAUCAGAUCACAAUGAAAUAUUCUACCCCGGGUCAUUCUGCUGUACAGGAGGUAGACAAUAUGCAUAGCCAAAUUGAGAAGGCAAUGGCGCUCUCUGAAUUUUACUCUCCCGUCUCAUUCUUGAGAUUGUUACUGAAAGUCAACAGGAACAACCCGUACCGAGUAAUACAGAUGAGAGAAUCAGAUUUCUUUGACUUUCACGCAUGUUCCAAAAUGUUCAAGUACAAACAGGUGCCAUUUUCGGAAGUGUGUCAGCUCGGAUUUGAUCAGUGCCCAUAUAAACUUAGCUAUAAAAAAUCACAUGCUGCCCAUGCUUCAGAGGUAACAUUAGACAUUAGGGGGCCGAGUAAAACUAGAAAGUUGGCACCUACAUGUACGCUACCAAAGCCAAGAAGGCUUCCUAAACAGGGCUGUAUUCCAGAGUCAAAGAUGAAAGAUUUAGAGUCAAUGUUCAGAUUCAUGCCCCAAACAGACAGAGAGUAUUACUGUGCUAUGAUUAAAUGA